GACGAGCGCUGGCGGCGUGCUUAACACAUGCAAGUCGAACGGAAAGGCCCUGCUUUUGUGGGGUGCUCGAGUGGCGAACGGGUGAGUAACACGUGAGUAACCUGCCCUUGACUUUGGGAUAACUUCAGGAAACUGGGGCUAAUACCGGAUAGGAGCUCCUGCUGCAUGGUGGGGGUUGGAAAGUUUCGGCGGUUGGGGAUGGACUCGCGGCUUAUCAGCUUGUUGGUGGGGUAGUGGCUUACCAAGGCUUUGACGGGUAGCCGGCCUGAGAGGGUGACCGGCGACAUUGGGACUGAGAUACGGCCCAGACUGCUACGGGAGGCAGAAGUGGGGAAUAUUGCACAGUGGGCGGGAGCCUGAUGCAGCAACGCCGCGUGCGGGAUGACGGCCCUCGGGUUGUAAACCGCUUUCGCCUGUGACGAAGCGUGAGUGACGGUAAUGGGUAAAGAAGCACCGGCUAACUACGUG
rnacentral:rRNA from 1 species